UUAUAAAAAAUUCUUUAAUUUUUACUGUUAAAAAUUGACAUUGCUGACAGAUAAUCAAAUAGUUACACAUGAUAUGCUAUGUGUGCCUUAUUUUGACAGAUAGGGACUAAUUUUUAAUAGUAGAAAUAUAUGAAAUUUUUAAUA
rfam:Gossypium arboreum cultivar AKA8401 contig_24640_3, whole genome shotgun sequence.